rnacentral:misc_RNA from 1 species
UCUCCGUAGGUGAACCUGCGGAGGGAUCAUUACCGAGUGAGGUCCCCGGCCCGACCUCCAACCCCAUGUGAACCGAAACCUGUUGCUUCGGGGGCGACCCUGCCGUUUGGCGCGGCGCCCCCGGAGGCUCAUCAAAACCCUGCAUCUCUGCGUCGGAGUCAUAAGUCAAUCAAACAAAACUUUCAACAACGGAUCUCUUGGUUCUGGCAUCGAUGAAGAACGCAGC